rfam:Ailuropoda melanoleuca scaffold555_45, whole genome shotgun sequence.
GCCUGACUGGCUCAGUUGGUAGAGCAUGCGACCCUUGAUCUCAAGGUUGUAAGUUUGAGCCCUACGUUGGGUG